rnacentral:rRNA from 1 species
AUGAACGAGGCAAAACGGCAGCUUUAUCAUGGUUGUACCAAGUUUUCAAGGUUCUCCUUUGUGGUAAAGCUUCUUCACUUGAAGUCAUACCAUAGGAUCCCGAAUAGUGCAUUUACUGAAAUUUUGAAGCUAUUAGCUGAAGCAUUCCCUGAACCCAAUACGCUCCCAAAAUCGUAUAAGGAAGCAAAGAACCUUCUAAAGGAAUUAGGCCUUGGGUAUGAAUCUAUACAUGUGUGCUUCAAUAAUUGCAUUCUGUUCAGAAAGCAAUAUGCCAAUCAUGACAAUUGCCCAGUAUGUGGCCUAUCAAGGUGGAAAGACCCUGCUUGA